CUUCUCCCUAGUGAGAUGAACUGAUCUGAUGAGAUAGGAAUUAAAAGUCACAGAGAAAAGUUGCCAAUUAAUGGUGGAUGCUGGACCUAAAAGGUCAAAUGGAUUUGAGAACUGAAGUCUCCAUUUGGCCUGUUGCAAGCUGGUGAUGGAGGAGAGAAGUCUCUGUAACUCAGCAGAGGAAGCCAACUGAGGGCAGAUCCUUAGGCUCUCAGGAGUUCAGUGAAGAGCCACUUGAUGUAGCCGCACAGGCUGUCACGGAAGGGUCCUGGGGGCUGCGGAGUUAAUGGAGCCUGGAAGUCCACUGCAGCUGUGGUCAAGCACGGCACCAGAGUCACAGUUUUCUUGCUGGUAAUGAGCUGAGGUUGCUCCAUGGUCUAAAACAAAUCCAAGGUAUGAUGCUACUUGAUGCAAAUCAUGGCUACUGUGAGCGGCAUACACGCGAGGCGGACUCUGGGCCUGGAAUCUGCUGAAGCACCAGCUUCACUGAGUCGAUUUUGAGUUUUCCCUUUGAGAGCCACUGCUGAGAGGGCACAGGAUGUGGGCAGAACUCUUAGCACCCUUGGAUUACGGUUCCUUCCACCUAUCAGCUUUAGCAUGUGCCAGUCGAAGAGCUUGAGUUUCCGAAGUACAACACUGAGUCUUUAUGGAGUAGUGCAGCCAUGAGAUCCUGCCGGGGCUCUCCCGCAGCACCUCUGCACUUCUCAGGGAAUAUUUAUCUCUGCUGAUUGACCACUGUUGACCCAGGGUGAAGUGAUUGUUGUUCUGUCUUUGGAGAAGAGCAAAGAUGGCACCCAGGCAUACUGACAAAACUCGAGGACAUCUUUCCCUGCUUGUCUUCUUGCCACUGCUGUAAAAGGCAGGCUAAUUAGUUAGUUUCCUCCAGAAAUAUCCAUCUAAAUCUGUACUAGCCACAUCACAAUAUCUCUGUAAUACAGCUUUUAAGGCGCAAAGUGAACAUUGAUCCUGAUGUCUCUUUCCCCUUGAAUGCCAUGAUUUAAAAAAAAAAAAAAGUUUCCAGUCAAAUGUACAAAGUAAAUAAAAAAAGUCUGUCAAAGUACUAAAUUAAUAAGUAAUAGGAAAAUAGUUAAAACUCUGCACUUGCAGCAGACUCGGGGUCAUUACUUUUGAUGAAUAUUUUCCUUUCUAAGAGGCAUUGCUAAUAUAAGUAAGUAGACCAAAGAGGAUAUUUAAAAUAUAUCCAUAUAUUACCUUUUGUUAAGAUCUUUAACCCUGGAAAAUCACGUCCACAAUCAUAGCUCAUUAUCUUAAUUAGAUCUGUCCUACAUUAUCUCAC
rnacentral:lncRNA from 1 species